UCUAAUAAGGUGUGACAUCUACAAAAUUGGAAAUCAAUUUGUUUCGUACACAAAGAUUUAACUUACCGUACACAUACUAAUAAUUUCAACUUAAAGUUAAAACGAAAUUUAAAAACCCUAAUUCUAAACCCAAUUCAAGUUUGCCAGAAACAAAACUUAAAACUGAUAUACUAUACACAAACUAAUCAAUUCAGAUAGGAUAUAGACCCAACAAUUAUAACUUAUAAGAAGAAACUAGCAUAAAGGAGUAGUUGGAGGCAAAAUCAUAGCCUAUGAGUGUAUGCGUCCGUCUGUAUGUACGUGCUCUAUGUUUGUGGGUGUGUGUCUAUGUACUAUGUCUGUGUGUGUGUCCAUGUAUAUAUGCUGAUUUUGGGUGUGUGUGUGUGUGUGUUGAUGUAUGCAAGUUGUGUGUGUAUGUACUAAGCAACAUAAUUUCAAACAAUUUCCACCAUAAUUACUUAAUAGUUUCACAGGUAGUAAUGAGAAAAGGGAUCAUCCAAAGUGAUUCUUAGUCUCUUUAAACAUCCACAUUACAUAUAGAAAUCAUAUGACUAUUGGAUAUAAAUAGAGCUUGCUAACUGGAAUAAUUAACAAUGCACUAUAUUUAUAAAAGAGUGAGUAGCAACAAAUAACACUUUCUAUCUAUUUAGGAGUCAAGACUUUCGAGAGAGAACCAUUAGUAGGCUAAUUAAGCUGUUUAUGAUCUUCAAAUUAGAAAACCC
rnacentral:lncRNA from 1 species